rnacentral:snoRNA from 1 species
CUUAGAUGAUGAUUUCAGAUGACGAGUCUUAUUCGAGUUUUCGAUGCUGACACUAUCUUUUAUUUACCAUUCAUGCCUUAACUGAUU